rnacentral:lncRNA from 1 species
AAUAAAUACAUCAAUAAUAUUUAGGUAAAAUUUUUUUAAAAAUCCUUUUUUUCUUUUCAGUGUAUACAAUAUUUAAAAUAGGCUUAGUUAAAAUAGUAAUAAUUUAGAAUUGUUUUUUCUUUCCCAACUUCUAAGAAAAACAGUUGUCAUACCUAGAAGUUUAAAUCUUGAUUACAAGUUAUUGGUCCGUGACAUUUUGUUUGGCUCAUUUGAAUUUCAGAAGUCUUAGAUUUUAUAAGAUCAAACUCAAACAGUAUUACAAGUAAUCUAACAUGUGACAUUUAGCGUCUUUGGAACAAAAUGAUAAUUCUUGAACUAAAGAAUCUUUUGUACUACUUGUCCCUGUUCUAUGAUAGUUAUCUUGGUCUUGAGUUUAUUUAUGUGUAGAUUGUGUGUCAGAGGACCUAACUCACUGGAGAGGAGGGUGUGGACACUGAAUGAAGUGCUAUUUCAAAAUCCUUUACAAACUCUCAGAUGCCUGGUUUUAGGACAACUACAGCUGGUGGGGCCAAAUCUGCACCUGUGUUUGUAAAUUAAGUUUUAUUGGAACACAGCCAUGCCCUCUUAUUUACUUAAUUGCCUAUGGCUGAUUCCGCCAUACGAUGGCAGAGUGACAGAGGUCACACUGUAUGGCCUGCAAAGCUUAAACUGUUUACUAUCUGGCCCUUUACAGAAAACGUUUGUCAACCCCAGGUAUCAAUAAUGAAGGGUAGCUUUUUGUAUGUGUGUGAAAUUCUUCAGAAUGGUGUCUGAAGAAUCUUGAUUUUUUUUUCUUUAAGUGAGAAAAAUGAGUCAAUCUAACAUAUAAUAAGUUUUUAUUUUUUCUUCUUCCGAAUUAUGUUUGUUUGGGGGCCCUGACUACAGGUUAAAUGAACUUUACCACUUUUUAGAACCAUUUUUACGUCUUUCAGCCAAUCCUUUUCUGAGUACUGAAGAAAUGCUCUCAUCAGAUACUAACUUUCCUACACAAAUGCAGGAGUUCAUCAAUGAACUGUGUGCAUUUUUAUAUAUUUCACGGAUGUAUGCUACUUCCCUCAUGCAGCCCAAUGAAUAUUUUCCCUCUAAACACUCCCACCUUAGGCUCUUCCUUCCCUGGAGUGCCGCCUUGUGGUGGGCUGUGGGCCCUUCACUGACAAAGUCCUGCAGAGCUUAGUCAUCGAUGAAAGUGAAUCAGCCAGAGGGUGAUUCAUUGCAAACCGUGCUCAAGAGUAAGAAACACCAUCUUAUACCUAAGAGAUGAUGAAUCAUUAGACUGGGACAACCUGCUGGUGGAUAUAAUUUGGAAAAAAAUUCCCCAUUCUGAGUCUCAGCUCUUUCCUCCCACUGUAAAUGAGCUUAGAAUAAACAUUAAAAAAAGAAUAAAGAAAUGACUCAUUAGGACUUUUUUUGGGAUUUAAUCUCAAUUACAUUUUAGGUAAUUCAAUAUUCUUGACAAUUUGUCCUAUAUGGUAGUGUGUAUAUAUAUUAGAAUAAUGUACAUAUAUACAUUUACGUGUAUGUUCACCUAUUUUGUGUGUGUGUGCACAUGUGUAUAACUAAUUCUCAUUUCUGGUAAGCCUCGUUACUGAAAGAGUUUAAGAGAAGAGGCUGUGGCUGUGCCCUUUAUAGGUCCUUUCUGUAUCUGGACCCUCACCUAACUGAGAUGAAUUUUCCUCAGGUUGGUGUUAAUACAUCACUCAUUUAUUAGUCAACAAACAGAACCUUUGUGCAAAGAAUGACAUCCAUUGUCUUACUUUCCAUUAAAUUAUUUCUAGGUGAAAUAUGUUGAGAAAGCACAGCGAUCCACCAAUAUUCCAUUAAUUCAAAUAGCUACCAUAGUAACUGCUAAGUUCUUGUCUAAAAACCAGAACAUUCUCAAAAUUCGGAUAAAGAUUAUACCAUUUAUUUGCAACUCUUGUCAGGAGAGAAAAAUACAUAUGUACUAAGUACUCAGAUGUUUAGUUAUCCAUACUGGGAAUUAAUGGCUCCAAAAUACAGUAAGAAUGAGCAAACUUAUGAACCAGCUUAUUCUGCCAUAGCUUUCACCAGUCCACCUGGAUACAGAUAAAGAGAGAUGUGUUACUGAUAAGAAUUGACAGAUCUGGGAUAGAUUCAGCACAAAUAGCACUUUAGAGACGUUUGAAACUAUGGUAUUCAGCUAAAUGUUCCCAUAGUUUAAAGAUAUAUUCAUUCCUGAAUGUUGCUAAGGAUCUGAGUGCCGUGAACUUGCAACAGAGAUUUGUGUGGUUGCUAUGUGCAAAAGCCCGAGAGUAAGCAAGUGGGAAAUAAUAUCAAGGUGGAUAAAUUUUACUGUAGUAACGACUUAUUUUUUAUAGGAGAAAUUUGGAAAAUAAAGCAAAAAAUCUCUGGAACUUGAGUGGAAAUAUAUGUCACCCAAAAUAGACAAUACAGAAAAGGAAAAGUCAUGCUUCUGACGCCACUUUUUAUUAAUAAUAAUUUUUAUGAUAUGGACUAAUUUAAAAUGUUACAUUUUGAGUGACUUUCUAAUGCACUAUUUAGUUUGGAUAAAUUACAAGAGGCAGUGCAAAGCUCUCAGAGAAAGCAAUGUCAUCCCAUUUUUUUCUUAGUAUGACAAUACCAAAAUAUUCUCCUCACAUGAAAUACAAUGUUCUAGAGAAGUUAAUUGUAUGUCUUCUUUAAUUCCACUAUAUCAAAUAACUCUUGAGCGUGAAAUUCUUUAAACACAGCCUAGAUCCCUUGGGUUCCCCUUCGCCUGACUUACCUUUCGUUUUUAGUAGGAUAGAAAAAGGGCUACAUAAUUACUAAAGCCAUUUUUUGAUUGUGAAAUACUGACAUUAUGUUUCUUUGCCAUCCUUUUUUACUACUGUGGUCGUCUCAACCCUAGCUGCACAUUAGAAUCACCUGGAGAAGUUUUUACAAAAUAUAGAUGCCUGUGCUCUACCUCAAAUUUCUGAUUCAAUUCUGAUUCAAUUCAAGGUGGGGCAUGGGCGUUUGUGUGUGUGUUUAAACUACCUGUGUGAUUGUAAUGUGCAGCGGGGGUUGAGAAUUACUGUUCUAGACCCUUAACAAAUCCUUAACAGUUAACCACAUUGUACUGAUGAUCUGUAAAAUGAUAUAAAAGAUGUAAGUUUAGGUAGAUGCAGCAGGUUAUGACUGCAGUGUCAGAUGGUCUCAGAGCUCUCUGCAGCUCUGAGUUUCUGGGAUUCUAAUACAGGUACCACAAGAUGUCUUAUUAAUGGCUAUAUUAGCCAACUUGUUUGAGACACUUAGCAAGCAAACACCUUUAUGAGGAAGUAGACCCAAUCUGGUGGAGUGGGAUAUCUGAUUAGCAGACCUUUGGUCCUGUCCAAAAUGUCCAUAAGACAUUUGGUCCAUCAGAUAUUUGGUCCACGCCAAAAGGUCUUUGAUAUCUGGUCAUAUUUGGUCCUGUCUAAAAUGUCCAUGGAGACAUUGGGUCCAGACCAAAAGGACCAAAUGUCCUGCAAGGGUGAUAUCUGAGUUGAGGUGGCUUCACUCAGCAGAACGAUGGCCUCACCAUUCUGCCGUGAAGAAUUUCCAUAAAGCAAUCCUGUGAGAUUGGUUUUAUUCAUUUGAACUACUCAGGACACUGAGGCUUAAAGAAGGUACCUAAUUAGGAGGUGGCAGAGCCAGGAUUUGCAAAGAGAUGUUUGUCUCUUACAUGCGUUUUCCAUCUUAUCACACUAUUUCUCACACGUUGAGUGAUCUUCCAUGGCAUUAGCUGCUUGUGCUAUGAAUGCGUAGGAAUGGGAUGAUGGACGGAGAGUAUGAGAGAGCUCAUGGGUAGCUCAUACAGCCCCGGUGAAUACCUAUAUAUUUGAAUACAUUUGGACUAAUGCAAAUGAAUGAUCACUACUGAUGCGUGACGUAUAUGUCCUUAAUGUUCACGGCCUGUGAAGCUCUUUAUUCUGUUUAUGUAGAAGUUAUACUGUGGUUAUAUAAUAUAUAUAUGUGAAAGGAGUUCCUAUAAUUCUUUUCAGAAGAGAACUAUUAGAGUACCCUACUAAAGUCAUAUUUAUUGAUUGUGUUAAAUGUAAUUUAUUGAGAGUUCUGUAAAACUUGGCAUCUAAUAAUGAUUUCAAGGGAGGUAGUUCCUGAUGGUCAAUUUUUAUUAACUCAAUGGCUGGUAAUGCCUUUGCUCAGAACUUUAUAUGUCAGUUCAAGACUAAACUUAUUAAUAAAAAUGGGACAGUACCCACCUUCCAGUUACGGCAACGAUAAUUAGAAAAGCAAUUUCCAUUUACUGACGUUGUAUUAUGUGACAAGACACUGUAGACAUAUUCUCUAAUCCUCAUGAGUUAAGUGGAAUUUUUAUCUUGCAGGAGAGAAAACUAGACUUAGCUAAAAAAACUUUCCCCAAACUGCGGUGCUAGUCAGUGGUGGAGCUAAGAUUGAAACCCAAGUUAUCUAACUCCAAAACCCAUGCUUUUAGCUGUCUUCAUAGGGAGACUGCCUCCCUGUUAGUACUCUGUUUUUAAAAGAAUAAUGACAUUUCACUAAAUUUCUUCAAAGUGAUUGUUCCAAAUUAGUUAUCCUUAUGUCUUAAAGAUCAGUUUACCAUAUGGAUUCCACCUACACUUUACCCCCGCCUCCUGCCCUGGUUUUGUAGCAUGUAUUCAUGUAUGCAUGUGUAUGAAAUACAACAUACAUACAGAAAUGUAUUAACAGUGUAAAGCUGAAAGAAGUAUUGUAAAUGAGCACCCAUCUAACUACCACCAAGGCCAAGAAAUGGAACGGUGCCAGGACCCUAGAAGCCCUCUCUUUCCACUUCCAAUAAUUAUUCUUUUCUCCUAGAGGUAUCCUGACUUUAUGAAAAUCACUUCCUUGUUUUGCUUUUUAAUUUUACUACCUGAAUAUUUAUCCCUAAAUUAUGUAGUUUUGCCUGUUUUUGAGCUUUAUGUAAAUGAAUUAAUACGGUAUAUGCUCUUGCAUCUGGCUUUGUUUGUUCAACAUAUUUAGUGAUGUUUUCUGCAUAGUGAUCUUGCACUUAUUUUGUUUUAUUCCCAUGUACGUGUUAUAUUUUGAUAUUAUCAAAAUGGCAUAUUUUUCAAAAUUUUCUUUCUACCAAUUGCUGAUAUAUAAAAAUAAAUUUUUGAGCUUUGAUGUUACAUUCAGCGGUCUUGCUAAAAACUCUUUAAAAUUGUAAUAAUAGUGAUUCCUUUGAUUUUUUUCUAUGAGCACAAUCUUCUCAUCUGUAAAUAAUACCAUUGUUUUCUACUUUUUAAUCUUUCUUUCUUUUUCUUGCCUUGUUGUCAUGGCCAAGACCUCUAGCGUAGUUAUGAGUAGAAAAGAUGUUAGUGGGCAUCCUGUCUUAUUCUCUUUCCUAAAAGGGAAUGCUUUUGAUGUUUCGCCAUUAAGUAUUAUGUUUAUGAUAUGUUUUG